rnacentral:rRNA from 1 species
CAGUCGCCGCGGGAAUACCAGCAGCCCAAGUGGUGGUCGCGAUUAUUGGGCCUAAAGCGCUCGUAGCCGGGCCGGUAAGUCCCUUGUGAAAUCGGACGGCCUAACCGUUCGGCGUGCAAGGGAUACUGUCGGUCUUGAGGCCGGGAGACGUCCGAGGUACUCCGGGGGUAGCGGUGAAAUGUUCUGAUCCUCGGGGGACCACCGGUGGCGAAGGCGUUCGACGAGAACGGGCCUGACGGUGAUGGGCGAAGGCUAGGGGAGCAAACGGGAUUAGAUACCCGCGUAGUCCCUGUCUCUUAUA